rnacentral:rRNA from 2 species
UACGAGGGGGGCAAGCGUUGUUCGGAAUUAUUGGGCGUAAAGGGAGCGUAGGCGGUUUUGUAAGUCGUGUGUGAAAUCUUCGGGCUCAACCCGAAGCCUGCACACGAAACUGCAGGGCUUGAGUAUGGGAGAGGUGAGUGGAAUUCCUGGUGUAGCGGUGAAAUGCGUAGAUAUCAGGAGGAACACCUGUGGCGAAAGCGGCUCACUGGACCAUUACUGACGCUGAGGCUCGAAAGCUAGGGGAGCAAACAGG